CCUACGGGAGGCAGCAGUGGGGAAUAUUGGACAAUGGGGGGAACCCUGAUCCAGCCAUGCCGCGUGUGUGAAGAAGGCCCUCGGGUUGUAAAGCACUUUCAGUGAGGAAGAACGCCUGGUGGUUAAUACCCAUCAGGAAAGACAUCACUCACAGAAGAAGCACCGGCUAACUCCGUGCCAGCAGCCGCGGUAAUACGGAGGGUGCGAGCGUUAAUCGGAAUUACUGGGCGUAAAGCGCGCGUAGGUGGCUUGAUAAGCCAGUUGUGAAAGCCCCGGGCUCAACCUGGGAACGGCAUCCGGAACUGUCAAGCUAGAGUGCAGGAGAGGAAGGUAGAAUUCCCGGUGUAGCGGUGAAAGGCGUAGAGAUCGGGAGGAAUACCAGUGGCGAAGGCGGCCUUCUGGACUGACACUGACACUGAGGUGCGAAAGCGUGGGUAGCAAACAGGAUUAGAUACCCCUGUAGUC
rnacentral:rRNA from 1 species